rnacentral:rRNA from 1 species
AGUAAACGGCGGCCGUAACUAUAACGGUCCUAAGGUAGCGAAAUUCCUUGUCGGUUAAAUACCGACCUGCAUGAAUGGCGUAACGAGAUGGGAGCUGUCUCAACCAGAGAUUCAGUGAAAUUGUAGUGGAGGUGAAAAUUCCUCCUACCCGCGGCAAGACGGAGAGACCCCGUGGA